rnacentral:tRNA from 1 species
GCUGGAGUGGCGGAACGGUAUACGCGUCGGUCUCAAAAACCGAUGUCUUAACGGGCGUGUGGGUUCGAGUCCCACCUCCAGCA